GGUUAAGCGACUAAGCGUACACGGUGGAUGCCCUGGCAGUCAGAGGCGAUGAAGGACGUGCUAAUCUGCGAUAAGCGUCGGUAAGGUGAUAUGAACCGUUAUAACCGGCGAUUUCCGAAUGGGGAAACCCAGUGUGUUUCGACACACUAUCAUUAACUGAAUCCAUAGGUUAAUGAGGCGAACCGGGGGAACUGAAACAUCUAAGUACCCCGAGGAAAAGAAAUCAACCGAG
rnacentral:rRNA from 1 species